UACGUAGGGUGCAAGCGUUAAUCGGAAUUACUGGGCGUAAAGCGUGCGCAGGCGGUUCGCUAAGACCGAUGUGAAAUCCCCGGGCUUAACCUGGGAAUGGCGAUGGAGACUGCAAGGCUAGAGUUUGGCAGAGGGGGGUAGAAUUCCACGUGUAGCAGUGAAAUGCGUAGAGAUGUGGAGGAACACCGAUGGCGAAGGCAGCCCCCUGGGUCAAAACUGACGCUCAUGCACGAAAGCGUGGGGAGCAAACAGG
rnacentral:rRNA from 1 species